rnacentral:pre_miRNA from 1 species
CCCUUAACUAUUAAAAGUUUCGUUUUGGUCCUUUAACUUACUUUUUGGUUUCGUUUUGGUCCUUAACUCUUCCUUCGUCAACCACUUUAGUCCUUUAUGUUAGGAUGAAUGUAUUAGAGUUAAGGGACCAAAACGAAACCAAAAAAUAAGUUAAGGGACCAAAACGAAACCAAAAAAUAAGUUAAGGUACCAAAACGAAACUUCUAAUACUUAAGGGACCAAAAGAAAACCCAAAAAUAAGUUAUGGGACCGAAACGAAACUUUUAAUAGUUAAGGAA